AGAGUUUGAUCCUGGCUCAGGACGAACGCUGGCGGCGUGCCUAACACAUGCAAGUCGAACGAGAAAGUGGAGCAAUCCAUGAGUAAAGUGGCGUACGGGUGAGUAACACGUGACUAACCUACCCUCGAGUGGGGAAUAACUUCGGGAAACCGAGGCUAAUACCGCAUAAUACCUACGGGUCAAAGGAGCAAUUCGCUUGA
rnacentral:rRNA from 1 species